rnacentral:lncRNA from 1 species
ACUGUCUUCAGUCCCAUUGACUCAGUAACUAGUCUAACAGUAUCCUCUACUGUCUUCAGUCCCAUUGACUCAGUAACUAGUCUAACAGUAUCCUCUACUGUCUUCAGCCCCAUUGACUCAGUAACUAGUCUAACAGUAUACUCUACUGUCUUCAGUCCCAGCAGACUUUUCUGGAUGGCAGCUACAGUGACAUCACUCUGGAGGUGGACGUGCGGUCAUCACAGGUGCUAGACGUAACAGAGGUUUCCUGGAUCAUCACUGGUAAAGGCUCUGAGGUGAACGACAACCAGUGUACCAGUGUUGGGGACACGUUUAACCCCUUCAACAUGGAAGCUGGGGUGAGUUUAUUCUCUCAUUUUCACUUACAAUACAUCAUGGCCCUUCUUCAUGAAGUGUCUAGGAUAGAUCAGAAUUCCUACUCUGAGACACUUUAUGAAUAAGGGCCCAGUACCUAGCCAUCAUAGGAGAAUUUCCCCCACUGUGUAGUCCACUGUGUAGUCCACUGUGCAGCGCUGAUCUCUGCUUUAUUUCAACUUUAAAGUUCCACUUGAUCAACAAGUCUUAUGGAAUCCAACAGAACUGUGUUUGAUAUUCCAUCGAAUCUUUGUCUUUGACAAUGUCACAGUUGUUGGGUUUUGAGUUUGCAAGAAAGGCAUUUCACUGUACUUAUGCAUGUGACAUUAAAACUUGCAACUACACCACAACCACAACCAUAUACUUCACAUCGUUCUCAUAACCAGAAGUGGAAGUGUUUGUUGGAAUUGGUUUCAAUAGAAUUAGAAUGAGUAGAACAGUCAUGGAACCUCUGACCCAGCCCUAUUGACUUGAAUGGGGACGUCCCUUCUAGUAAUUCUAUUUCUAUGGUUGGUUCCGUCCUCUGCUCUGUUCUGUUCUCUCUCAGAACUCCAGUUGUUCCCGUGACAACGCUCUGAGUUGUGAGGUGGGAGACCUGACGAACAGACAGGGGACAGUCAGCCUGACACACAGACAGCUGUACACCGACACCAGCAUACAACUGGCUGGGGAC